UACGGAGGGGGCUAGCGUUGUUCGGAAUUACUGGGCGUAAAGCGCACGUAGGCGGCUUUGUAAGUUAGAGGUGAAAGCCUGGAGCUCAACUUCAGAAUAGCCUUUAAGACUGCAUCGCUUGAAUCCAGGAGAGGAGAGUGGAAUUCCCGGUGUGGCGGUGAAAUGCGCAGAUAUCGGGAAGAACACCCGUGGCGAAGGCGGCUACUCUGGGACGGUACUGACGCUGAGACGCGAAAGCGUGGGGAGCGAACAGG
rnacentral:rRNA from 1 species